rnacentral:rRNA from 1 species
AAACCAUUUUUAUAAGCUAGUAUGGGCGACAGAAAACCUCUUAGCGCAAUAGACAUAGUACUGCAAAGGAAAAAUGAAAUAGAAAUGAAAUAACCCAUAAAAACACAACAAAGCAAAGACUAAAACCUGUACCUUUUGCAUAAUGGUCUAGCAAGUCUAACCCUACAAAAAGAACUUUAGCGGGGAACCCCGAAACCAAACGAGCUACCCCAGGACAGCAAAUACGAGCGAACCCACCUCUGUAGCAAAAGAGCGGGAAGAUCCUAAGGUAGAGGCGAAAAACCUUACGAGCUUGGAUAUAGCUGGUUACUUGAGAAAGAAUUUAGUUCAACUAAAAGUAAUAUAAUCACCCAAAAGAAUAACUAAUACUUUUAUUAUAAUUAGCCGGGGUACAGCCCAGUUAAUAAAGGAAACAACCUACAUAAAUGAAUAAAGAUUAUAACAACAAGGGAAAAUAGCCCAGUAGGCCCAAAAGCAGCCACCAUAAAAGCGUCAAAGCUCAGCUUUUUUUAACCCACAAUUUCAACAAUAAAUCUCAACUCACCAAAACAAUCAAGUUAAUCUAUUUUUAGAAAUACUACUACUAGAAUAAGUAAUAAGGGGCUCCCUCUAUUAUAUACCUGUAACUCGGAACGAAAACAUCACCGAUAAUUAACGAAAACAACAUUAAUUUUUACUAGCACUACAAAUAAACUUAAAUCGUUAACCCAACACAGGAAUAUUUAAGAAAGACUCAAAGCCAGGAAAGGAACUCGGCAAAAUUAGAGCUUCGCCUGUUUACCAAAAACAUCGCCUCUUGAACAAAAAACAUAAGAGGUACUGCCUGCCCAGUGACAACCGUUCAACGGCCGCGGUAUCAUGACCGUGCAAAGGUAGCGUAAUCACUUGUCUUUUAAAUAAAGACCAGUAUGAAUGGCAAAACGAAAGCUCAACUGUCUCCCUAGGCCAGUCAAUGAAACUGAUCUCCCCGUGAAGAAGCGGGGGUAUUUAUACAAGACGAGAAGACCCUAUGGAGCUUUAAACCUGACUAACUUCACCAAAACAAUAUUUAAUAAGUGAUUUUUAUAUAAGGUUUUAGGUUGGGGCGACCACGGGGAAAAACCCAACCCCCGAGAUGAAUAUAAACCUAGAAAAACUACUCAAAGUAACAAUAAUCUUGACAUAAUUGACCCAAUAAUUGAUCAACGAACCAAGUUACCCUAGGGAUAACAGCGCAAUCCUCCCACAAAGUCCCUAUCGACGGGCGGGUUUACGACCUCGAUGUUGGAUCAGGACCCCCAAAUGGUGCAACCGCUACUAAAGGUUCGUUUGUUCAACGAUUAAAGUCCUACGUGAUCUGAGUUCAGACCGGAGUAAUCCAGGUCAGUUUCUAUCUGUAAACAGAUUUUUCUAGUACGAAAGGACCGAAAAAACAAGGCCAAUAAAUAAUUUAAGCCUUACCACUAACCUCUGAAUACAAAUAAAGAGGAAAACCAAGGACAAAAAA